ensembl:snoRNA
CCUCGCUUUCUUUGCAGGGAGCAGGUAUGUAUGUUCCCUAUUAUGUCUGGAGGCAGAGGGAAAAGGCUUCAGUCCCCUGGGCAUCAUGUCUUUGGUGCCGCUGGCUUCCUGUCUGCCAAUUCUAUCCUCAAGCACUGGGACACAG